rnacentral:rRNA from 1 species
GAUGAACGCUGGCGGCGUGCCUAAUACAUGCAAGUCGAGCGAACAGACGAGGAGCUUGCUCCUCUGACGUUAGCGGCGGACGGGUGAGUAACACGUGGAUAACCUACCUAUAAGACUGGGAUAACUUCGGGAAACCGGAGCUAAUACCGGAUAAUAUAUUGAACCGCAUGGUUCAAUAGUGAAAGACGGUUUUGCUGUCACUUAUAGAUGGAUCCGCGCCGCAUUAGCUAGUUGGUAAGGUAACGGCUUACCAAGGCAACGAUGCGUAGCCGACCUGAGAGGGUGAUGGGCAACAGUGGAGAGGAGACAGGGACAAGACACAGAGGGGAGGCAGGAGUGGGGAAUCUUGCGAAAGGGGAAAAAGCUGGACGAGGCAACGCGGGGGGGGGGAUAAAGGUUUUGGGAUAGAAAAACUUUGUUAUGGGGAAAAAAAAAAUGUGAAAGUAAAAAGCCACGUCUGGAGGGGCCAAAAAAAGAAAGCCACGGAAAACUACGU